UACGGGGGGGGCAAGCGUUGUUCGGAAUUACUGGGCGUAAAGGGCGCGUAGGCGGUUUGCUAAGUUGGAUGUGAAAACUCUGGGCUUAACCCAGAGCCUGCAUCCAAAACUGGCAAACUUGAGUACUGGAGGGGAAAGCGGAAUUCCUGGUGUAGCGGUGAAAUGCGUAGAUAUCAGGAGGAACACCGGUGGCGAAGGCGGGUCUCUGGGCCGUAACUGACGCUGAGGAGCGAAAGCAUGGGGAGCGAACAGG
rnacentral:rRNA from 1 species